UACGUAGGGUGCAAGCGUUAAUCGGAAUUACUGGGCGUAAAGCGUGCGCAGGCGGUUGUGCAAGACCGAUGUGAAAUCCCCGGGCUUAACCUGGGAACUGCAUUUGUGACUGCAUAGCUAGAGUCUGGCAGAGGGGGGUAGAAUUCCACGUGUAGCAGUGAAAUGCGUAGAUAUGUGGAGGAAUACCGAUGGCGAAGGCAGCCCCCUGGGAUAACACUGACGCCUCAUGCACGAAAGCGUGGGGGAGCAAACAGG
rnacentral:rRNA from 1 species